rnacentral:rRNA from 1 species
CAUGUUUUAGGUCCUUAUCUGCCGGGAGAACCGAACCCCGACUCAUUAUCUGCCUGUACUGUCUGUGGGGCGAACUGGAAAUAAUUGGCUCAUUGGCGCGGGACACUGAGACAUUUCAGCCAAAAAAGAAAAGAAAUAGGCUCCGCACCUCACCUCACCUCUUCUAUUCCCCCAAGUCGCGCCCCCAAAUCAGCCAGCCUUCCACCCUCGAUCCCAUCCGCCGCCGACCACCCUUCGCCGCUCCCGUCGACCUCAGCGACAGCCGAUAACCCUCCGCCGUCCCCGACCCUAGCCUCACCCUUCCCCGCCCUCGACCACCCUCCACCGUUCCCAAAUCCCUACCGCUCCCGGCUUCCUUCCCGACCACCGUGGCGGGCAAGGGUUUGACGCCGCCGGCCCUCCUAGCCGUCCUCCGGUUGGUCGCUAGAGGAAAUGGCUUCCACCCUCCUUCCAAAGCUUGUGACCACGGAUCUGGCUCCUCCCACCGUUCCUUCCCCUCUCCUGCUUGGAGCCACGUGUGACCACAGAUCUGGCUCUCCUCCACCAGCGGCAGCAGGGAUGGCGCGGAUCCACCUCUUCUCCACAAGCGCCGGCCGAGACGACGUGGAUUCGCAUCUCCUCCUCCCUCCCUGCCAUGGCCGCCUUUAUAUGCUGCGCCCCCGCCUCGCAGCUCUGCCUCUGGACGGAGAUCUGGAGGAGUACCCGCCGCUCACCGUGGCUUCAAUCCUUCUUCCCAACUGGCCCCAGAGGCACAACAUUAAGGGUGCAAGCUCGACUGAUUCAACAGUCUGCCUUGGCGUGAUGGCUCCCCGUCAACAACCAGGUUGACCAUGGCCUAUGCUAGCUUGAGUUCCUUCCCCUGUCCCAGUCUGCUGGAAGUGUCUCUGCUGCCUCCCCAAGACGCUGGAAGGUCACCCACAUCGAUGCUCUUUCCGCCACUUCCACAAGCCACCAGAUUGAAAAAGAAUGGAAAAGGAAGAGAAGAAGACAAUGCUGAAGCACAAGAGCAAGAGAGGCUAGCUAUACUUAAAGCAAGGAACAGCGAGGAUUCUGAACGAUUUGGGUCCUUUAAAUUUUCAAAUCUAAAUGAAGAUUUUGGAGGCCGAGCCAGUCAGGGACAAAAUAAAAGGAAGAAGGGACCCUGAUUGCUUUGCGUGGACACUGAUUACUUAUUUCUCUUGGAGGGUUACUAAAAUGCGGUGUCUACCUUGUGUUGGAAAAACUUGAACUCUAGGUCUACCGGAGAUUAGUUAAGAAAAUGUUUCCCAAAGAUACACUACUUGAUGGAGGUUUGGAUGAUCUACAAGCUGCUGAAGGUUUGCAAGAUCUACUAUUAAGUUGGUGGAGUGAUAAUGUAAUGAGCCUUGUUUGUUGAACCUGGAGACAUUGGCAAGUUGUGCUCAUAUUGGUGGUUGUUUUGGCACAUAAACAUGUAUGUACUCCUUCUGUGGCAGUCUGCUUAUAUAUGUUCUUAUGUUUAUGGAAUGAAGUUUAGGGUUUUUGAUGAGGCUUAUAUGUUACUUUGAAGUGUAUGUAUAAAUUGUGUGAGGUGUCCUGAUUGCUUAACAUAAUGGAUGGAUAUUGCAU